rnacentral:rRNA from 1 species
GACGAACGCUGGCGGCGUGCCUAACACAUGCAAGUCGAGCGAUGAAAUCCCUUCGGGGAUGGAUUAGCGGCGGACGGGUGAGUAACACGUGGGUAACCUGCCUCAAAGUGGGGGAUAGCCUUCCGAAAGGAAGAUUAAUACCGCAUCAUAUUAGAUUUUCGCAUGAAGAACUAAUUAAAGAAGUAAUUCGCUUUGAGAUGGACACGCGGCGCAUUAGCUAGUUGGUGAGGUAAUGGCUCACCAAGGCGACGAUGCGUAGCCGACCUGAGAGGGUGAUCGGCCACAUUGGAACUGAGACACGGUCCAGACUCCUACGGGAGGCAGCAGUGGGGAAUAUUGCGCAAUGGGGGAAACCCUGAUGCAGCAACGCCGCGUGAGUGAUGAAGGUCUUCGGAUUGUAAAGCUCUGUCUUUUGGGACGAUAAUGACGGUACCAAAGGAGGAAGCCACGGCUAACUACGUGCCAGCCGCCGCCGUAAGAC